rnacentral:rRNA from 1 species
CCUACGGGUGGCUGCAGUGGGGAAUAUUGGACAAUGGGCGAAAGCCUGAUCCAGCCAUGCCGCGUGUGUGAAGAAGGUCUUCGGAUUGUAAAGCACUUUAAGUUGGGAGGAAGGGCAGUAAAUUAAUACUUUGCUGUUUUGACGUUACCGACAGAAUAAGCACCGGCUAACUCUGUGCCAGCAGCCGCGGUAAUACAGAGGGUGCAAGCGUUAAUCGGAAUUACUGGGCGUAAAGCGCGCGUAGGUGGUUCGUGAAGUUGGAUGUGAAAUCCCCGGGCUCAACCUGGGAACUGCAUUCAAAACUGACGAGCUAGAGUAUGGUAGAGGGUGGUGGAAUUUCCUGUGUAGCGGUGAAAUGCGUAGAUAUAGGAAGGAACACCAGUGGCGAAGGCGACCACCUGGACUGAUACUGACACUGAGGUGCGAAAGCGUGGGGAGCAAACAGGAUUAACCCCGGUAGUC